rnacentral:rRNA from 1 species
AACGGAGGGUGCAAGCGUUGUUCGGAAUUACUGGGCGUAAAGCGCGUGCAGGUGGUCCUUUAAGUUCUGUGUGAAAUCCCUUGGCUUAACCAAGGAACUGCGCAGAAUACUGGAGGACUUGAAUACGGGAGAAGAGGACGGAAUUCCCAGUGUAGAGGUGAAAUUCGUAGAGAUUGGGAGGAACACCGGUGGCGAAAGCGGUUCUCUAGACCGAUAUUGACGCUCAUACGCGAGAGCGUGGGUAGCAAACAGG